AUUUAACGCUGGCGGCAGGCCUAACACAUGCAAGUCGAACGAGUGGCGGACGGGUGAGUACUGUCUGGGAAACUGCCCGAUGGAGGGGGAUAACUACUGGAAACGGUAGCUAAUACCGCAUACCAUCGGAUGUGCCCCGAUGGGAUUAGAUAGUAGUUGGGGUAACGGCUCACCUAGGCGACGAUCCCUAGCUGGUCUGAGAGGUUGACCAGCCACACUGGAACUGAGACACGGUCCAGACUCCUACGAGAGGCAGCAGUGGGGAAUAUUGCACAAUGGGCGCAAGCCUGAUACAGCCAUGCCGCGUGUAUGAAGAAGGCCUUCGGGUUGUAAAGUACUUUCAGCGAGGAGGCGUUACUCGCAGAAGAAGCACCGGCUAACUCCGUGCCAGCAGCCGCGGUAAUUC
rnacentral:rRNA from 1 species